CAAGUCGAACGAACCUUCGGGUUAGUGGCGGACGGGUGAGUAACGCGUGAGAAUCUGCCCUCAGGAGGGGGAUAACGGCUGGAAACGGCCGCUAAUACCCCAUAUGCCGAGAGGUGAAAUGAAUUUCGCCUGAGGAUGAGCUCGCGUCUGAUUAGCUAGUUGGUGGGGUAAGAGCCUACCAAGGCAUCGAUCAGUAGCUGGUCUGAGAGGAUGAUCAGCCACACUGGGACUGAGACACAGCCCAGACUCCUACGGGAGGCAGCAGUGGGGAAUUUUCCGCAAUGGGCGCAAGCCUGACGGAGCAACGCCGCGUGAGGGAUGAAGGCCUCUGGGCUGUAAACCUCUUUUAUCAAGGAAGAAGAUCUGACGGUACUUGAUGAAUAAGCCACGGCUAAUUCCGUGCCAGCAGCCGCGGUAAUACGGGAGUGGCAAGCGUUAUCCGGAAUUAUUGGGCGUAAAGCGUCCGCAGGCGGUCUUGUAAGUCUGUCGUUAAAGCGUGGAGCUUAACUCCAUUUGAGCGAUGGAAACUGUAAGACUAGAGUGUGGUAGGGGUAGAGGGAAUUCCCGGUGUAGCGGUGAAAUGCGUAGAUAUCGGGAAGAACACCAGUGGCGAAGGCGCUCUGCUGGGCCAUAACUGACGCUCAUGGACGAAAGCCAGGGGAGCGAAAGGGAUUAGAUACCCCUGUAGUCCUGGCCGUAAACGAUGAACACUAGGUGUCGGGGGAAUCGACCCCCUCGGUGUCGUAGCCAACGCGUUAAGUGUUCCGCCUGGGGAGUACGCACGCAAGUGUGAAACUCAAAGGAAUUGACGG
rnacentral:rRNA from 1 species